rnacentral:rRNA from 1 species
AUGCCUCGUAGCCCUUACGACACGUACCUCUACAUCGACAACUUCAUGUUUGGUCGUCAAGUAGAAAAACAGCAAAUCAUGAAUGUUUUGCUGCAAGAAAAUAUUCCUCCUUUCGCUCCAACUGUUCUUCCGAUCAUCAGCACCAAUAGAGUGGGCAAGAAAACUCUAGUCGCGCAUGUUUGUAACAAUGAUAGAGUUAGAUCACACUUCUCUUUGAUCUUGCGUCUGAAAGGGGAAAGCAUUCACAAAACUGAGCAUGGAGCUUUCGUUCCAACUGGGAGGACUUUGGUUGUGCUUGAAUUUACUUCAGACAUAGAUGAUGUUAGUUGGCAAAAGUUUUAUUCCACAACUAGACGUAUGGGAAAAGGAAGCAAGAUCAUCAUCAUAAGUAGGAUCGAGAGUGUAUCGAGACUCGGAACCAUAAGGCCGAUGCACUUAAACAGCUUGUCGCUGGAGGAGUACAGUUACCUCUUCAAGGUCCUUGCAUUCGGAAGCACAAAUCCAGAUGAUCACCCCCGGCUAUCAUUGGUAGCGAGUGAGCUAGCUGUGUUGAUGGGAGGUUCGCUCGUGGUAGCAAAUGUGUGCGCCGAUAUCUUCAGAAAGAACCAGAAUCUUCAGUUCUGGCAACAUAUCCUCAACAAGUACAGAAACUUUCUGGCGAACAAUUUCUCGGUGUUUUGUGAACAUCCAAAGCUUCUCAUCGAGAGAGAUCGCCCAGUGGAUAUAUCAAAACUCGUGUCAUCGACCUCUGCUCCGCUUCGCCUCAUGCCACCGCACUGCGAAGACGACGAUUCUACGAGGGAUUUGCCCAAGGUGAGGUAUGGGGACCUGAUCGCCGGCUCCGUUGUUCCGCCGAGGGAGAAGUUUGAGCUAGUAGGUUGGGAGUCGCGGAUACCGCCAUAUAAGAAGUAUGUCAAUGUUGCUAUGUUCUCUGGUGAGGUGAAUGUUUCGGAACAUGUGGUCUCACCUUGCAAGAAGCGCAUACGAUUUAGUUAA